UUCUGUUUCAUCUGGUCCUA
rnacentral:siRNA from 1 species